GCUGAGAGAGAGACACACACAGAGAGAGAGAGAGAGAGAGAGAGAGAGAGAGAGAGAGAGAGAGAGAGAGAGAGAGAGAGAGAGAGAGAGAGAGAGAGAAAGAGAGAGAGAGAGAGAGAGGGAGAGAGAGCGUAGGAGAGCAGGAAAGAAUCCCUUGCUCUCUAUUUAGUAUUUAAAAAUAGAAAGGAAAAGAGCCUAGUUUGAAUUUGAGAUAAUGCUGGGCUGCUUUGUGAAUGCUCUUACAGUGUAUCUCCUUCCAAACAAAUUGGGCCAAGGGUACAAAGCUCUCUUUCUUGUGUGCUCACAAACCUGUUUUUAAUGGCUCGUGUGGCACUGGUUUGGCCCCUGAGCAGUAAUGAACCACUCUACAAGUCACCACAUGCAAGGCAGACAUGAAUCUCCCAGGGAAGAAAAUGCUCUAACAUGAAUUGGUUUUAAUCCAAGCACUGAGGUCAAUAAGCCAGCAUCCCUCUUUUGAUUAAAGCCUAGACAAACCUACUAAAGGUAGAAGCAAGUAUUAUUCUGAAAGGGCUGUGGGCCAUCUGAUGACAGAAAAGGUUAAGCCACAGUGUCCACGUUGGUUCCUGCCAUCCCACAGUUGUGUCACCGCUAUGAAAUGCCAUCAUUUUAGACUUGGUGAGAUCUUGAAAAGCAGCUGCAGUCUUCCAUCCCUUCCAAGCACCCUCACAGAAGAGAAGAGAGAGUGCCCAAGCAUCGUCAUGAAUGGGCUGCAUUAAGGUAGAGACUAUGGAAGUAGUUACAGUAAUAAGAGCAGCAGCAGAAAGGUCACAAGGGAAAGAGGAGCCAGCACAGAGAGAACCCAGCAGAAGGUUGCAUUUGGAUGUUUGACUGGCCAAUGACAUGUAAAAUGCCUAAUUAGCAGUUUUUCAAGCACUAUUUAUAUUCCAAGGCUUAAGUUUUGACCUCCCAACUGAUUAUACUAGUAGGAAUGUUAUAUGAAUUGGAUUCUAAUCACCUGUCAUAUGUGCUGAGACCUCAUUUCUGUGUGGAAAUAAAAGGACUUCUUCUAUACCUA
rnacentral:lncRNA from 1 species